AAGAGCUUGUAGGUGGCUUGUCGCGUCUGCCGUGAAAACCCGAGGCUCAACCUCGGGCGUGCGGUGGGUACGGGCAGGCUAGAGUGUGGUAGGGGAGACUGGAACUCCUGGUGUAGCGGUGAAAUGCGCAGAUAUCAGGAAGAACACCGAUGGCGAAGGCAGGUCUCUGGGCCAUUACUGACACUGAGAAGCGAAAGCAUGGGUAGCGAACAGGAUUAGAUACCCUGGUAGUCCAUGCCGUAAACGUUGGGCACUAGGUGUGGGGGACAUUCCACGUUUUCCGCGCCGUAGCUAACGCAUUAAGUGCCCCGCCUGGGGAGUACGGCCGCAAGGCUAAAACUCAAAGGAAUUGACGGGGGCCCGCACAAGCGGCGGAGCAUGCUGAUUAAUUCGAUGCAACGCGAAGAACCUUACCAAGGCUUGACAUGCACUGGACGGCUGCAGAGAUGUGGCUUUCUUUGGACUGGUGCACAGGUGGUGCAUGGUUGUCGUCAGCUCGUGUCGUGAGAUGUUGGGUUAAGUCCCGCAACGAGCGCAACCCUCGUUCUAUGUUGCCAGCACGUGAUGGUGGGGACUCAUAGGAGACUGCCGGGGUCAACUCGGAGGAAGGUGGGGACGACGUCAAAUCAUCAUGCCCCUUAUGUCUUGGGCUUCAAGCAUGCUACAAUGGUCGGUACAAUGGGUUGCGAAACUGUGAGGUGGAGCGAAUCCCAAAAAGCCGGCCUCAGUUCGGAUUGGGGUCUGCAACUCGACCCCAUGAAGUCGGAGUCGCUAGUAAUCGCAGAUCAGCAACGCUGCGGUGAAUACGUUCCCGGGCCUUGUACACACCGCCCGUCAAGUCACGAAAGUCGGUAACACCCGAAGCCAGUGGCCCAUCCUCGUGAGGGAGCUGUCGAAGGUGGGAUCGGUGAUUGGGAC
rnacentral:rRNA from 1 species